GACAGAGCCCCACUAAUUAUUUUUUAAAAGGUUACUACUUAAAAACUACUAAUUUGGGUAGAUGUCCUUCAAGUUUUAAGUUGCCUCCGUUACUAUUUGCUCUUACUAGAUCAACAAAGUUCUUUUCUGAAAGGUGUCUAAGAUUGGACAGAGU